GGCAGUGUUGCCUAGUGGGCAGUGCACUAGACUGGGACUCAGGAGACCUUGGUUCUAUUCCCAGCUCUGCCA
rnacentral:tRNA from 1 species